rnacentral:lncRNA from 1 species
AGCAAUUAAGCAAAGUUGUAAGCAUUCAAAGCAUUGUAAAGUUCUCAAAGUUCUCUUAAUAAAAGAGUUCUUUCUUCCAACUACUAGUUUCCUUCGCUAAGUUUCUACAAGCUUAGUCUUUCUUAAGUUCUACUAAGCUUCCGGGUAGGCUGACUAGCUAACUUUGGCAUUGAAAGUUCGCUAGGCCGGACAAAUCGUCGUGUUUGAGUUACGGUCUUGUCACACUAGGGUAGGGGUAAGGUCUGCGUACAUACUACCCUCCCCAGACCCCACUAAGUGGGAUUAUACAGGGUUGUACUUUUUUGUACUUUUUUAGAUAUAUAAAAUUUAUAUUGAAUAGUUUAGUUGGAAUUUUUUUUCUUUCAAAUUUAAACACCAUUGAAAAUAUUUAUGGCUUCGCCAUAUUGUAAUCAUGUGUUCUAUGAAAACCUCCUGUUUUGGACUCUCUUCACAAUCGU